rnacentral:piRNA from 1 species
UGGGAAUUUUGCUUCACUUUUUGGGGA